rnacentral:rRNA from 1 species
GACGAACGCUGGCGGCGUGCCUAAUACAUGCCAGUCGAACGAGAGCGACCGGUGCUUGCACUGGUCAAUCUAGUGGCGAACGGGUGAGUAACACGUGGGUAACCUGCCCAUCAGAGGGGGAUAACAUCCGGAAACGGAUGCUAAAACCGCAUAGGUCUUCGAACCGCAUGGUUUGAAGAGGAAAAGAGGCGCAAGCUUCUGCUGAUGGAUGGACCCGCGGUGCAUUAGCUAGUUGGUGAGGUAACGGCUCACCAAGGCCGUGAUGCAUAGCCGACCUGAGAGGGUGAUCGGCCACAUUGGGACUGAGACACGGCCCAAACUCCUACGGGAGGCAGCAGUAGGAAAUCUUCCGCAAUGGACGCAAGUCUGACGGAGCAACGCCGCGUGAGUGAAGAAGGUUUUCGGAUCGUAAAACUCUGUUGUUAGAGAAGAACAAGUGCUAGAGUAACUGUUAGCGCCUUGACGGUAGCUAACCAGAAAGCCACGGCUAACUACGUG